rnacentral:rRNA from 1 species
UACGUAGGGACCAAGCGUUGUCCGGAAUCAUUGGGCGUAAAGAGCGUGUAGGCGGCUUGUUAAGUCUUGCGUGAAAUCUCGGGGCUCAACCCCGAGCGGUCGUGAGAAACUGGCAGGCUAGAGUGCGGGAGAGGAGAGCGGAAUUCCUGGUGUAGCGGUGAAAUGCGCAGAUAUCAGGAAGAACACCCGUGGCGAAGGCGGCUCUCUGGAACGCAACUGACGCUGAGACGCGAAAGCGUGGGGAGCAAACAGG